ensembl:lncRNA
UCAUCUCUGUGUGUGUGACUGUGGAUGAUGGAAACGGGGUCCGGCUCGGCCGAAACCGAAACCGGCCGAAACCGGCGCUGAUGUCACUCACAUUAACUGCAGAAAACAUGUUUUCAAUUUCAGCCUGGUUCCAUUAUUCCAGAUGUCUCCAAAAGAAAUAAAUCACUUCCUUCCUGUAAGAUCGGUUAUGAAACACUCCUGCAGAUUCAUGAGCUAAUCGAUUAAACGAACACGUUAUGGAUCAUCAUAGACACUAACUCAUCAGGACAAACCGAGCCGUACUGUAUCUGCGCGAAUCGACAACGUGCGGCACAGUCAUGGGGUUCAAACGUAAAUCUGACAGAACGGUGGCGUCUCUCUCUCUCUCUCUCUCUCUCUCUCUCUCUCUCUCCGUUUUUCAUGUUCACGUGUUCGAUGUGGACGGCGGUCUGUCACCGGGAGCAUCGCUGGGUUUCUCCGGGCCCAAUUACAAACCCGAAAAUAGUCUUCGUGCGGCGUGAACAAAAGAUCUGCUGCAGAGCAACCUUUCGCAGACGAGGUUUGGAAAAGGUCGUGUUCCACACACACACACACGCGCGCACACGCCGGAGUCCUCUUCUCCAGCGGCUUGCUACUGCACCAUACACACGGUUCACACUCCGGCGCAUGUACCGGAGGAAAAAAACACGAUAUAUCCGCACACAGGUGGAUUUAUUUAUUUAUUUGUUUAUAUUCUUAAAAAACGAAACAUCACACUUUUUUUUUUUUUUUGGUCAGUUCACGGCGACGGUUAACGUUAUGGAACGUCCACGAAGCGAGCUCGUUCCUGUUGUCACUUACGUUAUAGCAGCUACAGACAAAAGUCUCUCUUAACGUUAACAAGUUCGAACUGACAAAACAAAAAACGUGGGAAAAACGUAAACCGUCAACUCCGCUGUUACACUUUUACCUCAGACCUCUCCAGUGUCAGUGCUUUGGAACAGUCAGAGGUAAAAGCUGUGACCCUGAUAACUGGGUAAUGGUUUCAGGCCACCCAUCCCAUCAUGCAUCCUAACCGUGACACUACAGACACACCGCACACUUAUCCUCGGUUUGUUCACAGUUCCACUUCCACGAUAGCAAAGUACGUGCUGUGUAUGAACAACACCUUUGUGCUUAAUAUGCAUCCAAAGCUCAUUUACCUUUCAGUUAAUUACGUGUGACGACUAUUACCAGGUCAGUCGAUUAAUGAUUAAUGUUCCUUGUGGUUUAAUCUGGGAUAUGUCUCAGGAGAACCUUGCUGAGGGAGGUGGCCUAAGAAAAGGGAAAAAUGAAGGAGCUGAAUGCCUCGGUGUAAAGAGCACAGAGGCUAAUUUUCUAGCAAAAGUGUCCAGAAUGUGGAGGGAUGGCCUGGACUAGCAGGAAGAAGACUGGCAGAAAACCGUAAAGGUUUGGAAGUUCGGGAUACGUCAGUAAUGGAUUGUAACAAGCUCGCCUGAGAGAAACCAAAGCUCGUGAGGUCGAUAGCUUUAAUCUGACGUUAGAAAAAAGGCUGACUGUAGGAGGGAGGAGACUGAAUGGGUUAGUAAGAGUCAAGUUUUGUUAGAAGGGCUUGAAAAGGAAACUGGAAUGUUGGCUUCAGGUCCCGUCUUCAGCCAUGUGUAAACUGCGCCAGCUUUCACGAACCUGGAUACCAACCUUGUAUCCCGAUAUGCCGCCUUUCCAUGCAGCUAAUCUCCCAAGAGAGUACAUGCGUUAACCUUAACCCCAGCAUUCCAUGCUAAUGUGUGCUAUUCUGUCAAAUUACAGCAGGUAUACUAACAAU